rnacentral:rRNA from 1 species
UACGAAGGGGGACUAGCGUUGUUCGGAAUUACUGGGCGUAAAGGGCGCGCAGGCGGUCGCUCAAGUCAGGCGUGAAAGCCCCCGGGCUCAACCUGGGAAUGGCGAUGGAUACUGGCUCGCUAGAGUGCGGUAGAGGAGAGUGGAAUUCCCCGGUGUAGCAGUGAAAUUCGUAGAUAUUCGGAAGAACACCAGUGGCGAAGGCGACAUACUGGCUCAUUACUGACGCUGAGGCUCGAAAGCGUGGGGAGCAAACAGG